rnacentral:lncRNA from 1 species
GUAAGACAUGGGGAUUAGUUGAGUUGAUUUUGAAAAUUUGAGAAAUGUGAAAUCAGAGUUUUCUAAAUAAAAUAAUAAUGUAUACUUUAGCAUGACCAUGUUAAAUAGUCACAUUAUUAUGUCAGGAAUGAAAACAAAUAGUCCGAGAUAUAGUGUCCUAUAUUAUUAUAAUUUUACCAGUACGGAUUAGUCGGCUUCGUUAAAAAGAGCCAUAUUAUUUCUUUAUGGAAAUAUCUGUCACAUGUCACUUUGCAGGUUUUGUUACAUUCAACAUUAUGAUUAAAUAUCUCUGCUCUCGAGCCAGCUAUAUUUUUUACAUUCUCCCAAAAUACUUUCAUCAAGUUGAAAGCUUUAUUUGAGCUCUUGACUUUGCGCCAGGGUAAGUGACCCUGCUUGCCCCACUCUUGUUACGAUGCUUGUUCCAAUUCGUUGAUUCCUAGUCUUCGGUACACCAGCUGAUCCAUCAUAAAUCAAACCAACGUAUGGUAAGCUUUUAAUUGGACCACUUUUUCAUAUUAUUUAAUAUGUAAAAAAUUAAAACUUUUAAAUAAUCGACUAACUCAAGAUAAGGAUUCAAUUAAAAUCGAAUUUUCCCAACAAAUUUCUGCAAAAAAUCCUAAUUUCAUACUUCACAAAAUAUAUCUGAUAAACGUUGAAUUAACUCAUAUAUACAGAGAGAGAAAUAGACAUCAUGAAACAUAUAGUUGUUUUAAAACUAGGGGCUCUGCUUUUGAGGCCUUAUGAUCGCUAUGCCGUCGGAGAUAGCGCUCUCUGUUUAUACGGACUGAAAACGAGAAAGUUUGCAUUGAACUCCAGUCAGUUCUGUUCAGGAGCACCUAUAUAUAUAUAUAUGAAAUGUUUUAAAAUGAGCUAUCAAUUAGAAAUAAAGAUUUAUUCUUGCAUACAGGUGAAAAUAGCUGUCGAAAAUUAAAUUAAAAAAAAAAAAAUUAUAAAUUACCCAUGACUAAAGAUGUCAAAGUUUAAAAACCUAUUUCGUUUAACUAAUUUUAAAUUAAUCAAAACUGUG